rnacentral:misc_RNA from 1 species
GAAUUUCAGAGUUAGCCAAGAAAAGCUUGUUAUACCCUUCCUGGACAUAAGCCCAAGUCACAAUCUGAAUAGUGAGAUCUCCGCAAAAGAUGGAUGAGACUCAGACUUGGCCAAGGAAAGCUUGUGAUACUCUUCUUGGACAUAGACUUAAGACACAACAUGAGCGGUGAGAUCCGCAUAAAAAAUAUAUGAAACUCACAUAUUUUUGUCUGAGUUCAUGAUAAAUCCCAUAUUUUUUCUUCUUUUGAGUGUUAUGUGAUCUAAGUGAAUUGUAGAUGAUCAAACAUGUAAAAUUCUGCAA